UACGUAGGGUGCAAGCGUUGUCCGGAAUUAUUGGGCGUAAAGAGCUCGUAGGCGGUCUGUCGCGUCGGCUGUGAAAUCCCGAGGCUCAACCUCGGGUCUGCAGUCGAUACGGGCAAACUGGAGUGUUGCAGGGGAGACUGGAAUUCCUGGUGUAGCGGUGAAAUGCGCAGAUAUCAGGAGGAACACCGGUGGCGAAGGCGGGUCUCUGGGCCGAUAUUGACGCUGAGGAGCGAAAGCGUGGGGAGCGAACAGG
rnacentral:rRNA from 1 species